UAAUGCAGCUAAGGUUUCCUGGCAAAAUUCAGUGUUUUUUUUUUUUUUUUUAAGACUGAUAGUCAUGCUUAAAUCCUUCAUGUACAAGAUCUCUUCUUCAGCCAUACCUUGCCUCUGCUCUCCCUAUACAAUGAGUGUAAUGCUGCUCUGACAGCGAAGUGAGAAUUCAUUAGCAUCACCAUAACUAAUACAAAAGUAGGACAAAAUACUGGUUGAAAUCCAAGACCCAAGCGUGAACUUGCCUGCAGAGAUGCUCGAAAAUGCUGCGUAAAAUAUGGCUGCCUGGAGAGUUGGACAUGACCACCCAGGAACUCCCUUUGUGUAUUGUGCCCUGAGUUCCUAACUACAAAGCUUUUCACUUGUAUUGUCUACCAAAUGCAUGUGUAGUUUGAAACUGAAAUAUCUGAAAAUCAUCUCCUGAUUUUAUUGGCCUGAAAGAAGGGUCUGUUCAUUUUGUUAUAGAUCUGACAGAUGUCUCAAGUGUGAAGAAUAAGCAGGAAGCUUAUAAGGCAUAUAUGAUGAAUUCCAAACAUCACUGUUUUGCUUUCCCCCAUCAACAUAAUAGCUAUAAACUAGUAUUUUGACUAGUUUGACAAACUAAUUUGAAUUUGUACUUUCAGAAGCCACAAUGAUGCGUGGAGUCAGCGUGUGAAGAAUCAGGGCCUAUUAACGCUCUUCCGCUCUGGUCAUGCAGGUUUAUUGGACAGUUAUACAACACUUCAAGGUCUUUCAUCUUUUUCUGCCUGUCCAUUUACAUCAAGCCCAAGAGAGCAGACAAAGCUGUCACUAACCAGCAAGCUGUGUGAGGGAAGCCAGGAUGCAAUGACUUGCUCUGCUUUGGCGAUUGAAGGAACAGCGCCUGACUAAUGACACUGGACAGCAAGGAAAUGCAGUUGUCCUGGAAGACCAGGCAGGUACAUUAGGGAUGGCGUUCAUUGUGUUUUGUAUUUGCAAGGGGGAGCUUGUGUGAAUCCAGGCAUUGUGGAUACCAGCAUCUCCUGGCAAAAGGUUUAUAAACCCUAGCAGUCGUCUUGAUGCAAGGAUUCAUUCUGGUGGGCCUGCUGGGAGCACUGGCUGUGUCCAGAGUUAUGCAUGCUUAAUGAUUUCCCUUGUCAAUAUUUUUAGUGGGCUGCUUUCCCAGGACCAUUUCACCUACCAGCACCUUCUAUCCUUUCCAUCUUCAUAGUUGCUUU
rnacentral:lncRNA from 1 species